rnacentral:lncRNA from 1 species
UAUUAGAUUAAUUAAUUUUUUGGUGUAUUAAUUGUGCAGAAACAAUUAUAGGUGUUGAGGGAAUAGUAUGUGAAAAACCAAGCUUGACAUGGUCCGGGAAUUGCGGAAACACACAACACUGUGAUAAACAGUGCCAGACCUGGGAAUCUGCAAAACAUGGAGCAUGUCACAAACGAGGCAAUUGGAAAUGCUUCUGUUACUUUGAUUGUUGAUCCAAUACAAUACCUGGGAAUAUAUUAAGAAUCUUAAACCAUGCAUGCAUGAAAAUGCAUGCGAAUAUCCUCGUACUAGCUAUUUAAUUUGAUUACUAGCCUGUUAUUAUGAGUAUGUACAUAGUGUUAUCUAAACAAAUAAGGAACACUAUUUUUAGAUGUAAUUUAGAUAUUUUCAUAUGGUCUUCUCUCAUAAGAGAGUAGGGUGGAUUCCAUCUUUAUUUGAUAGCAGCUCAUGUGAAAAUAUUAUUACAUACGAAAAUAUCAUUUCCCAGUAAAUAAAACGAAAUGCUUCUUAGCUAGCUAGCGCAUGAUGAUGGCUAGAAGUUAUUUCAUGUAUCUGUACGUUUUGAUCGUACGUUUGAUUGUGUUAUGAAUAAAUUAAGGGUUUCUAUGUUUCUUAUCAUGUAGUAGUAUUUUUUAUGGAAGUACUUUUGGGCAAUGUUUGUGAAUCUUGUGAAUAGAUAAGAAAGGGAAAGUUCCUUUAAUUUAUUUGAAAAGAAGAACUUUAUCUUCCCUUGUUCUCAAAAGUAAGCUCACUGAUAAGCUUUUAAUUUUUGGUUAACUCGACUCCAAUAUUUAUCGAAUAUGUCUCUUACUCCAUAACUUUAACGAGAAAUAGGCGCUUGACAGAUUCAUGUAAUAGAACUCACAUUCAAAGGAGAAUUGGAAGAAUCCGUUUUGUUUUUUGAAGUAUGAGGACCCAAAAAAAUAACUCAAACCUCUGUACGCAGAUUUAUUUGAAUCCGAUCACUUAAUGAUCGAUGAACGACAAGUCUUAGACUCACAGGACCUUUUAAGCCGAGCCCGAGUCAAGGCUGCUUUCUAAACUGGCUUCGAGCAUCCGGUUUCACCACCCCUGCCUGCUCUGUCCUUCGGCACUUUCCAGCUUUUUCUCCUUGUUGAUAAAAAAAAAUAUACACAUUGCAGGAGUAUGAAGCUGAGUUUGAGAAGGUUGUCAAGCGGUGGUUGGCAGUUAACCUUAUGCCGUUCCGUACUCUCGCCUACCUAGGCAUCCCGCCCAGGAAAUCCACACCAAGGAUGAAGGAUCUAAUCUAAAGAAGAAUCAUAUAAAAAAAGAUUUUGUUCUACACUUUCAAUCUUUGUCUCUCUCUUUGCCUUUUUCAUUUUCACUAUUUCAUGACUCUCAAGUCAUUUAUUUAAAAAAAAGAAAGUAUUCUAUCUUCACUAAUUUCAAGCCAAAAAUGUUAUGUAUGACGACUUAAAACCGAUAACACACUAUAAAUGUUAAUGAUCUUUAACUUAAUUGUCUUUUUUGUCUAUUCAGUUGUAUGCUGACUAAUCAUGAUAUAUAUAGCAUGGCUAUAGCCCUAAUUUAUUUAAUACUCUCUCCGUUCCUUAAUAUAGGUCGUUUUAGAGUUGUACACAAGUAUUAAGGAAAUGCUUAUAAAACAUUAAAUAUAGUAUCAAUUGUUUAGACUGCCCUUGUAUUGGAAAAAAAAAGAGUAAUGUUAUUUAUUGGACAAAAAAAUAGUGAUAAAACCAAAGUUAUAUUUAUUACUUGGGGUAAUAUUAAAAACUAAGCAAUUAAUGCUUAUUUAAAAUUCUCAAAUCACUUAUAUUUAGGAACAAAAAUAUUUUUCUAAAACGACCUAUAUUAAGUAAGUAAGGAACUGAGGGAGUAAAUGGUAAUGAAAAUCCAAAAUCUAAAGGACCAAGUCCCUUGUUCAAUGGUGUUACCCUCCAUCCAGAAAUUUACAUUUUUCGGAUUUACCGCACAACUCCUUAUGGUAGUAAAAGGAGUAUAUGGGCGUCCUCCACUAAAUUCGAUAAUUCCAAACCAAACUAAAUUACAUCAAGUGAUGAUUAUGUACCAUAUAUAUAUAUAUAUAUAUAUAUAUAUAUAUAUAUAUAUAUACGGUCCGGAUCAAGUGCAUACCCCUUAUCUUAUUCAUCCAUGCUCACCCCCUUUUAGGCCACGAUUUCGGUCAUACAACCGUCGCCUAUACUUUUAGCGACGCUAUAUGUUGUCCGUCGCUAAAAUUAUAGGCGACGGUUGUAUGACCAAAACCGUCGCCUAAAGUGGGGUGAGCACGGGUGAGUAAGAUAAGGGGUAUGCACUUAUCUUUGCUAUAUAUAUAUAUAUAUAUAUAUAUAAUGCAUUACAAUCGGGGAUUAUUCCAGCAGUUAUUAUCUCCAUCAUAUGUAAUUGGUUGUGCCAAGUUGAUAUAUAUCUACUUCAAAAUUUAGGAAACCAAGUAAGAAAUUAAUAGUUAAGGAGUACUCAACUCCAUAAAAGGACUAGACGGGCCCAUACUUUAGGCUCAAUGAAGUUUACUUAAUUGCUUGAAAAAUUGAAGAGCAAACUGCAAAGCAAUACCUGAACAUAUAUGGGUUGGAAUCAAAAUGUCCCAAUGGGCCAAAUGAACCUUUCACUCGACCCAAUCACAGCCCAACUUUGAUAAAUUAUACACCGAGUCAACAUAUGAUUUGAGAGAGUGCCAACUGUCUUGUAUUCUGCUAGGUGGCAGCUUUUCUCCUAACAUUUUCAUGCAGUGUCGUCACAGCAUUACCAUGCAAAUCAAACACGAAACUUUGACCAUAAAUACCCUUAUGCAUUAUCUUUUCUGGGGAAAAAAAGAGACUAUAAAUACCCUUUCAUAUUCUUCUUUUCCUGUUAGGCACAACUUAAAUUUGAGAAGAUCGAUAUAACAUGGCAAAUAAAGCUAGUAGCCUCGUUAGCUUCUUUGCAAUCCUUCUCAUUUUCUUCCUUGUUGUUAACACAGGUGAGCCGGUGACUACUUCAAUAAUUUGUGUUUUAGUAUCAUUGUAAAUUAAUUAAGGGUUCCUUUGUUUUUUUAAUAAUUUUUGGAGUUAAAUCGCAUAGAAUUAAUAUUUUUACGAUUGAAGUAUAUAUAUAUUAUGAUUAAUAUUUGUUUCAAAAUAUAUAAGACAUAAUUUAUUAGUUAUGAUCGUAUCAGCACUAUUGAAACACGUUUUUGGAUGAGUAUUAAGUAUAGUAAUAAGAUUGGUUACUCCAUGGGGAGUGAUCAUAAUGUAUGUUAGACCCUUGAAAUUAAUUAACCUUAAAAUAAAAAUAUUUACAAAUGAUCGAUCUCAUGAUUUUGAAUAUUUUUGCUAUANNNNNNNNNNNNNNNNNNNNNNNNNNNNNNNNNNNNNNNNNNNNNNNNNNNNNNNNNNNNNNNNNNNNNNNNNNNNNNNNNNNNNNNNNNNNNNNNNNNNUAUAUAUAUAUAUAUAUAUAUAUAUAUAUAUAUACACUACAUAAUCAACUAUUCUGAAUUUGCUUAAUUAGAAUAAUUGUUGGUGUAUUAAUUUUGCAGAAACAAUUAUAGGUGUUGAGGGAAAACUAUGUGAAAAAGCAAGCUUGACAUGGUCCGGGAAGUGCGGAAACACACAGAACUGUGAUAAGCAGUGCCAGAACUGGGAAUCUGCAAAACAUGGAGCAUGUCACAAACGAGGCAAUUGGAAAUGCUUUUGUUACUUUGAUUGUUGAACCAAUACCUGGGAAGGGAAUAUAUUAAGAAUCUUAAACCAUGCAUGCAUGCAUGAAAAUGCAUGCGAAUUCCCUCGUACGUGCUAGCUAUUAAAUUUGAUUACCUAGCCUGUUAUUAUUAGUAUGUAGGUAUUGUUAAUUAUCUAAAUAAAUAAAACGAAAUGGUUCUUAGCUAGCUAGCUAGCUAGCUAGCGCAUGAUCAUGAAUAUGGCUAGAAGUUGUUUCAUGUAUCUGUUUUGAUCCAUCGUUCGUACGUUUCAAUGUUUUAUGAAUAAAUUAAGUGUUUCUUAUCAUGCAGUAGUAGUUGUACUUUUUAUGGAAGUACGUACUUUAGGCCAAUAUAAUGUUUGCGAGUCUUAUGAAUAGAUAGGAAAGAGAAAGUUCUUUCAAAACUUUAUCUUCCCUUGUAAUUCUCAAAACUA